rnacentral:rRNA from 1 species
UACGUAGGGUGCGAGCGUUAUUCGGAAUUACUGGGCGUAAAGCGUGCGCAGGCGGCGCGUUAAGUCAGGUGUGAAAGCCCCGAGCUUAACUUGGGAAUUGCGCUUGUGACUGGCGUGCUGGAGUGUGGCAGAGGGAGGUGGAAUUGGAGGUGUAGCGGUGGAAUGCGUAGAGAUCUCCAAGAACACCAGUUGCGAAGGCGGCCGACUGGACACAUAUUGACGCUGAGGCUCGAAAGCAUGGGGAGCAAACAGG